GUUUGGGGCUUACCAUGCAGUCGAGCGGAAGGCCCUUCGGGGUACUCGAGCGGCGAACGGGUGAGUAACACGUGAGCAACCUGCCCCUGACUCUGGGAUAAGCCCGGGAAACUGGGUCUAAUACCGGAUAUGACCGCCUCUGGCAUCGGAUGGUGGUGGAAAGUUUUUCGGUUGGGGAUGGGCUCGCGGCCUAUCAGCUUGUUGGUGGGGUAGUGGCCUACCAAGGCGACGACGGGUAGCCGGCCUGAGAGGGCGACCGGCCACACUGGGACUGAGACACGGCCCAGACUCCUACGGGAGGCAGCAGUGGGGAAUAUUGCGCAAUGGGCGGAAGCCUGACGCAGCGACGCCGCGUGGGGGAUGACGGCCUUCGGGUUGUAAACCUCUUUCAGCAGGGACGAAGUUGACGUGUACCUGCAGAAGAAGCGCCGGCUAACUACGUGCCAGCAGCCGCGGUAAUACGUAGGGCGCAAGCGUUGUCCGGAAUUAUUGGGCGUAAAGAGCUCGUAGGUGGCUGGUCGCGUCUGCCGUGAAAGCCCGCAGCUUAACUGCGGGUCUGCGGUGGAUACGGGCCGGCUAGAGGUAGGCAGGGGCAAGUGGAAUUCCUGGUGUAGCGGUGAAAUGCGCAGAUAUCAGGAGGAACACCGGUGGCGAAGGCGGCUUGCUGGGCCUUACCUGACGCUGAGGAGCGAAAGCGUGGGGAGCGAACAGGAUUAGAUACCCUGGUAGUCCACGCUGUAAACGUUGGGCGCUAGGUGUGGGGGUCUUCCACGAUCUCCGUGCCGGAGCUAACGCAUUAAGCGCCCCGCCUGGGGAGUACGGCCGCAAGGCUAAAACUCAAAGGAAUUGACGGGGGCCCGCACAAGCGGCGGAGCAUGUUGCUUAAUUCGACGCAACGCGAAGAACCUUACCAAGGUUUGACAUCACCCGGACACCUGCAGAGAUGUGGGCUUCUUCGGACUGGGUGACAGGUGGUGCAUGGCUGUCGUCAGCUCGUGUC
rnacentral:rRNA from 1 species